rnacentral:rRNA from 1 species
GACGAACGCNGGCGGCGUGCCUAAUACAUGCAAGUAGAACGCACAGUUUAUACCGUAGCUUGCUACACCAUAGACUGUGAGUUGCGAACGGGUGAGUAACGCGUAGGUAACCUGCCUGGUAGCGGGGGAUAACUAUUGGAAACGAUAGCUAAUACCGCAUAAUAUUAAUUAUUGCAUGAUAAUUGAUUGAAAGGUGCAAUUGCACCACUACCAGAUGGACCUGCGUUGUAUUAGCUAGUAGGUGAGGUAACGGCUCACCUAGGCGACGAUACAUAGCCGACCUGAGAGGGUGAUCGGCCACACUGGGACUGAGACACGGCCCAGACUCCUACGGGAGGCAGCAGUAGGGAAUCUUCGGCAAUGGACGAAAGUCUGACCGAGCAACGCCGCGUGAGUGAAGAAGGUUUUCGGAUCGUAAAGCU